AUUUUUUCACAAUAUAAAAUCCAAUUAAGAUGACAUUUAUUCUUCCCCAACUAGACCCAAGUUGGAGGAAAGAAAACUACCGUCCUGCUUCCCAAGUUGACCCCUGACACCGAAUACUCUAUUACUGUGGUGGGGGUCUACGCCAAAGGAGUUGGCGAGGAGCUGAACGGCCUUGGAAAGACCAGGCCUUUGGGCGGUGUUAGGAACCUGCGUGUCACUGACCCCACUACCAGCACCCUGAAUGUCCAGUGGGAGGCUGCUGAGGGCAAUGUGCGUCAGUACAGGAUCUUCUAUGUUCCUGCCGCUGGAGGAGUUGAAGAGAUGGCCCAGGUGUCAGGCAGCACCUACAACACUGUGCUGAAGAACCUGCAGUCUGAUACCGUCUACACUGUAACUGUGGUUCCUGUCUACUCCAUUGGAGAGGGACAAAGGAUGUCUGAGAAUGGCAAAACCUGUAAGCACUGCAUGCAUAUAAUCAUUGGUAUCAGUCACAAAUGGUGCUCCAUGCAUGAACACUUAAAAGCAGUCAUGACAUCCUUGGAAAACAGCUUUCAGGGUCUAGAAUAGACCAGACAGACUGACUAGAGGACCUCUGAGAAUGACAUAUUGCAUGACGGCAGUGGGAUUUCAGGAAUUCAUUCAUGUCCAUCCAGAAUGAACUCACUGGCCUCAGUUGCUGGCUGGCUGUUACAUAUUGUCAGAAAACCUUCAAUGAAGCAGCCAUAUAUUGUUUCAGAUCAGCCAAAUCCUUCUAAAAGCUCUAAGCCAAGCCAAACCGAUCAAAUACCAUUGGUUAUUUAGGAGGUGAAUUAACAUGCACUUAAUUCACACCUCACUUAUAAAAUGCUACAUAAGCCCUAACAUAAAAUGACAGUAUUAAACUUUGUCAGAUUAGUUCAAACUUCUUUGAAAAACUCAGACUUUUCCAGUUUUCCCACAACUUCAAACCACCAAUCUCUGCUGGGAAUGAGUCAGCAUUUUGCGGGCUGAUUGCGUAGGAAGGAAUUCCUCUGAC